AUGACUCUUAGGUUUGGUUUAGUUCUUGCACAAAAGGCGGGAUGCAAUCGCCUUGUUAUUAACUCUGAUAAUAUGGAAGUCAUUGACACACUGAAGAGUGGAGGACAAUCUGCGGGAGCGGCGGCGGCAGUCUUCGAUGAUUGCUACUUCAUGGCAUGUGAUUUUCCUUUGACAAGAUUUGAACAUUGUAAUAGGGUGGCUAAUAAAGUUGCUCAUGAACUUGCUAGGCUAGCGAAAUUUUCUAUAAGUAUAGAUUGGUUUGAGGAGCCUAUGGAGAAUAUUGUACCUCUUCUUAGAGACGAUGUAAUCAUUAUUUCCAAUCAACAAAGUGGGUGUUUUUUCAAAAAAAGAUUGAAAGGGGGAUUCACCACCCAAGCCCAAAUAUGUGGCCCAUCAAACUUAAGCUUCAAGGAUCGCAUGCAACCCUCAAAUUCAAAUAGCACCACGUCGUUCUUGCUAACAUGCCAUAAUGAGCCCUCCCACACACACACACACACGAGUGCGAUCUUUCUAAGUUGA
rnacentral:rRNA from 1 species